UACCUUACCUAUAUGCUUAUUGUUAGAUAAUUUUAAGAGUUAAGAUUGCCAAUCUUGGCAAGUCUUUUUAUAUUCAUUGUAAUUCUUGUCAAUUAACUAAUUGUGUAGAUCCUAAUUUAGAUAAGGAAUCUACUGUUAUGUUUUUGUUAGAGACCUGCUUAUGCUUUGCUGCCCAUUAGAGUUAGAAAAUGAUCCUUGGUUUUAAAAAUCUGAAAAUGCAAACUUUAAAAGGUAUCUACCACAGCUUUAGAUCAGCAGCUACAUACUGCCCAUUUUGUUAAUGAUAAGCAUAGGGAUAUUUCCAUAGCUUUGUCAGAGCAACAUAUUAUAUAGAUAAAAAUUUAGAGGCAAAAGAUGUCUUAAAGUAGUAGUUUUAGUAAGAAGACAGGAUAUAACAUACAUUAAGGCUAGAAAGGUAGAAAUUUUAGACAUAGCCAAGCCUUGACCGGUGUUCCACUGUCCUAGAAAGUCCUUGAGCAGACCAUGGGUUUAGAAUUCAGGAAGAAAGUUGACAAUUCAGUGACAUUCAGAAUUGCCUCUGGCAUUACACUAUCACUUUAAUAAAAGCUAGGUCAUUGCCUUACACAGGAACUUACCAUCAACUAGGAAAAAGGAAGUUUAAGACCUAAAGAGGAACCAGAGUAGAUACUUAGAACUGUAGAUAGCUGAGUUACACCCAUACACAAGUAUUUACAAUGGCCUAGAGGGAAGGUAGACUACCAAAACUGGUUUUUCAACCUCCCCCUGGCUUUCGACCUUGUUGCCCUCCCUUUUGGGACCCCUAUUGGAAUUCCUAUUAUUGAUCUCCUUCGGUCCUUGGGCAUUUCAGAAAUUGACCUGAUUUGUUAAAUCUCAAGUUGAUUCAUCUCUUUCAAGCGCAUUUGUUUCAGUUCAUUACCAUUGGCUAGACGUUGGUGAUAACAAGCAGGUUACUGGAGAAGAGGCAGAUGGUGAUAACAAGCAGGUUACUGGAGAAGAGGCAGACGAGGAUACCGCUUCAUCACCCUCUUCUCGGGGAGAGAGACUCAAUUUCCAUAAAAUGCUUAAGUAAGAUCAUUCACCUCCCCCUAAAUUCGGCCAUCAGUCUCAUGCCACAAAUCAUUUAUAGAUUGCCGUAGUCUGUGCUUUUCCGACAUGGUAAUAUACGUUCUCGCCACAUUGGAAACUAAACAGUCAUCCCAGGCUAGACACAUC
rnacentral:lncRNA from 1 species